AAUAAGGGAUAUCAAAUGCUGUAUCUAAUGCUGCCACAAAGAAAAUCUUCACAGGGGGCCAUCUGAUGCAGAGCUCUAUUGGACUUCAAAGUCACUUAUAAACAACAGACUACCACCUCUGCUUGACCAACACCCUUCCUUUCCAUAAACACAUUGGCUACACCCUGACAAGCCGCCUCUAAGAAACAGCUGUGUUAGGAAGUAUUAUUUUAUUUGGAGUUAUUAAAGAGACACAGAAGACUUUGGUGAGGUUUUAAGAAUCCUGUCCGACAUAAUUGCUGGAAAUAUAUAACAGGUGGCUGAAAAAUUGCCUUUUUAACAAUGCAUUUAAAUUUCUUCCAAUUUCGGUGUAAGUUCAGUACCAAGGAUUUUAUUAUGAUGGAUUCUCUUUUAACAUUAAUUGUGAGUCUUUGAGGAUUAGGGAAAAUUUCCUCCCCAAAUGGGCUGCACCUCGACAUACCGGCCCACACCAAGCCACAGCAACGUGGGAUCCAAGUGGUGCCUGUGACCUACACCACAGCUCAUGGCAAUGCUGGAUCCUUAACCCACUGAGCGAGGCCAGGAAUCAAACCUGCGUCCUCAUGGAUGCUAGUUGGGUUCAUUAACCACUGAGCCACGACGGGAACUCCUGUCUUUGCUCUUUAUGGUGCCAUAAGUGACUACAGCAAUUACUCAUAGUUUCUUUACAGGAAACUGGAAGUUUUGUGAUUGGAAAUAACUUUGAAGUGAGAAAAUGUAUUUUCAUCCUCUAUUAAGGGGAUGGUCGCUACAGAAAUAAUAAGAUUCCUAAUAAG